rnacentral:rRNA from 1 species
AGGGCGAACGCUGGCGGCGUGCUUAACACAUGCAAGUCGAGCGGAAAGGCCCUUCGGGGUACUCGAGCGGCGAACGGGUGAGUAACACGUGAGUAACCUGCCCCUAGCUCUGGGAUAGCUCCGGGAAACCGGGAUUAAUACCAGAUACGACCACUUUAGACAUCUGUCGUGGUGGAAAGGAUUCCGGCUAGGGAUGGGCUCGCGGCCUAUCAGCUUGUUGGUGGGGUAACGGCCUACCAAGGCGACGACGGGUA